rnacentral:rRNA from 1 species
UAAGACGAAGGUGGCGAGCGUUACUCGGAUUUACUAGGCGUAAAGCGUGGGCAGGCGGUUCGUAAAGUCUGUUGUGAAAGCUCCCGGCUCAACUGGGAGAGGCCAAUGGAUACUCACGGACUUGAAUCGGGGAGGGGUCACUGGAAUUCCUGGUGUAGCGGUGAAAUGCGUAGAUAUCAGGAGGAACACCAAUGGCGAAGGCAGGUGACUGGACCCGUAUUGACGCUCAUCCACGAAAGCUGGGGGAUCAAACAGGAUUAGAUACCCUGGUAGUCCCAGCUGUAAACGAUGCUCACUAGGUGUGGGAGGUAUCGACCCCUCCCGCGCCGACGCUAACGCAUUAAGUGAGCCGCCUGGGGAGUACGGCCGCAAGGUUG